CUUUUUUCCUACUUACUUUGUUAGAAUUUGUAACUUACAAGUUCAUCGAGUCGAGCCCUACUUCCCCGUUUUUGCGUGGAUAUUCAACUGGUAAAACUUCCAGAACCAUUAUGUGUUUUGGAUAAAGCCGAAAUGAUAAAAAGUUUGUUCCGAAAGUUGGAAGCAAUGUGUCUGUAUAAGUUGUGGAAUAUCUUUGGGAAGGCAUACAAGAAGACAAAAUCACAGGCCAUAAGCUUAGGGAAAGAAAUGAAGAGUGACAUUAUAUAGAAAAACAAAAAUAUCUCCGAGACAGAUUCCUGAUGGAUGCUCAUGUAUGCGUUGUUUGCAGGAUGAGCUCACCUCAAAAGUAUUAAUAUCUAGUGAACAUAAGAGCUGUGUUAAGUGUGCCGUUCCGUUGCAUUGUAUGUAGUUAGUAGCUAUUUAUGUUCAUAAAUGUUGUUAAACUACGAGCUUAAAUCACUUUAUAAUUUAUAUUAUCAUAUCAUUAAAUAGUUAAAUAAGCUAGUUAGGCACAUAACCCAUAUAUUUUAAUGUUAUUGUCAAGUUUAUUCUAUACCUACUUACUAAUAUGUUACCAUAUUAAGUUCCUUGACAUGAUUUAUGUAAUGACUAUGUACUAACAUCAUGAAGGCAAAAGGCGAAGAGGGAGGCCAAUCAAAAGAUGGGAGGAUGACCUACCUAAGGGGUGGAAACGAUACACACAAAGUAGAGCAGAUUGGCGCUUGAUGGAGGAGGCCUAUGUCUCAGGACAGCCUGAUUAGAAUAAGUACUACAUAUAAUAAACCUAUGUAAAGUAGAACUGUACAUCGGUGAAUAAAGGCUAUUUUUAUUUUA